CCUACGGGCGGCAGCAGUGGGGAAUAUUGCACAAUGGGGGAAACCCUGAUGCAGCGACGCCGCGUGAGUGAAGAAGUAUCUCGGUACGUAAAGCUCUAUCAGCAGGGAAGAAAAUGACGGUACCUGACUAAGAAGCCCCGGCUAACUACGUGACAGCAGCCGCGGUAAUGAGUAGGGGGCAAGCGUUAUCCGGAGUGACUGGGUGUAAAGGGAGCGUAGACGGCAGCACAAGGCUGGAGGGAAAUCCCGGGGCUUAACCCCGGAACUGCUUUUGAAACUGUGCGGCGGGAGUGCAGGAGGGGUAAGCGGAAUUCGUAGUGUAGCGGUGAAAUGCGUAGAUAUUAGGAGGAACACCGGUGGCGAAGGCGGCUUACUGGACUGUAACUGACGUUGAGGCUCGAAAGCGUGGGGAGCGAACAGGAUUAGAUACCCUGGUAGUC
rnacentral:rRNA from 1 species